AUACUAUGUUAGCUAGCUGGCUAUGAAUUUCCAACACAACACUGGAACUCUUCCAAGUCAAGCUGAGCAGAUGUGUUGUGCAUUGAAGUCCACAAGCAAUGGGACAAGGUGAGAGGAGGAGAGCGGAUAGAUGCAAGAAGGAUUACAACCUGGCUGCUAUGAAAGUGAACUAUGUUUACACCUGAUUAGGGGUGUAUUCAUUCCACCGAUUCUGUUGAAAAACGUUUCUUAAAAUACCUGAAGUUGUCCAAUAGAAAAUGUUGUUUGCAACUGUUGAACUAAUGAUUACACCCUAUAUCAGCUAGAUGCAUGCAAGAUUAUGCAAGGUGGUAUUAAAUGUCAGUCUGACAACG